ACAGGCUUAACACAUGCAAGUCGAGGGGCAGCAUGGUCUUAGCUUGCUAAGGCUGAUGGCGACCGGCGCACGGGUGAGUAACACGUAUCCAACCUGCCGUCUACUCUUGGCCAGCCUUCUGAAAGGAAGAUUAAUCCAGGAUGGCAUCAUGAGUUCACAUGUCCGCAUGAUUAAAGGUAUUUUCCGGUAGACGAUGGGGAUGCGUUCCAUUAGAUAGUAGGCGGGGUAACGGCCCACCUAGUCAACGAUGGAUAGGGGUUCUGAGAGGAAGGUCCCCCACAUUGGAACUGAGACACGGUCCAAACUCCUACGGGAGGCAGCAGUGAGGAAUAUUGGUCAAUGGGCGAUGGCCUGAACCAGCCAAGUAGCGUGAAGGAUGACUGCCCUAUGGGUUGUAAACUUCUUUUAUAAAGGAAUAAAGUCGGGUAUGCAUACCCGUUUGCAUGUACUUUAUGAAUAAGGAUCGGCUAACUCCGUGCCAGCAGCCGCGGUAAUACGGAGGAUCCGCGCGUUAUCCGGAUUUAUUGGGUUUAAAGGGAGCGUAGAUGGAUGUUUAAGUCAGUUGUGAAAGUUUGCGGCUCAACCGUAAAAUUGCAGUUGAUACUGGAUGUCUUGAGUGCAGUUGAGGCAGGCGGAAUUCGUGGUGUAGCGGUGAAAUGCUUAGAUAUCACGAAGACUCCGAUUGCGAAGGCAGCCUGCUAAGCUGCAACUGACAUUGAG
rnacentral:rRNA from 1 species